rnacentral:rRNA from 1 species
UACGAAGGGUGCAAGCGUUACUCGGAAUUACUGGGCGUAAAGCGUGCGUAGGUGGUUCGUUAAGUCUGCUGUGAAAGCCCUGGGCUCAACCUGGGAAUGGCAUUGGAAACUGGCGACCUAGAGUGCGGUAGAGGGCAGUGGAAUUCCCGGUGUAGCAGUGAAAUGCGUAGAGAUCGGGAGGAACAUCUGUGGCGAAGGCGACUGCCUGGAACAGCACUGACACUGAGGCACGAAAGCGUGGGGAGCAAACAGG